UCGAGGGGCGGGGCGGCGGCGCGGGGCGGUGCUUCGCUCGGCUAGAUGGAGCGUGCGGGAGCUGCGACCCCAGAGGGCAAUAUGCCCGGCUUUCUUAUGGCUCUUCAGAGCAAGAGCCGAGCCGAGGCGCCGCGGGCGCGGGUGCAGGAGCAGGACUUGCGGCAGUGGGGCCUUACAGGGAUCCAUCUACGCCCUUAUCAGCUGCAGGGAGUCAACUGGCUAGCCCAGUGCUUCCACUGUCAGAAUGGCUGCAUCCUGGGGGAUGAGAUGGGCUUGGGUAAGACCUGCCAGACUAUUGCACUCUUCAUUUAUUUGGCAGGAAGAUUAAAUGAUGAAGGACCAUUUCUGAUUCUUUGUCCCUUGUCUGUUUUGAGCAACUGGAAAGAAGAGAUGGAGAGAUUUGCUCCAGGUCUUUACUGUGUAACAUAUGCAGGUGACAAGGACAAGAGAGCCUGCCUACAGGAAGACCUGAAGCAGGAGUCACGUUUUCAUGUGCUGCUAACUACCUAUGAGAUUUGCUUGAAAGAUGCAUCUUUUCUAAAGUCCUUCCCUUGGAGUGUUCUUGUUGUGGAUGAAGCUCACAGGUUGAAAAACCAAAGCUCCUUGCUGCAUAAGACUCUUUCAGAGUUCUCAGUUGUCUUCACCCUCCUGUUGACUGGAACACCCAUCCAGAACAGCCUCCAGGAGCUCUACUCACUCCUCAGUUUUGUGGAGCCUGAUCUCUUUUCCAAGGAGCAGGUGGAAGAUUUUGUUCAGCGUUACCAGGACAUUGAGAAAGAGUCUGAGUCAGCAAGUGAACUAUACAAACUCUUGCAGCCAUUUCUGCUGAGGCGAGUAAAGGCUGAGGUAGCCACAGAGCUUCCCAGAAAGACGGAAGUAAUGAUAUACCAUGGCAUGUCAGCACUGCAGAAAAAAUACUACAAGGCCAUUUUGAUGAAAGACCUAGAUGCAUUUGAAAAUGAGAUGGCGAAGAAAGUUAAACUUCAGAAUGUCCUGUCCCAGCUUCGGAAGUGUGUGGAUCACCCAUAUUUGUUUGACGGUGUGGAACCAGAGCCUUUUGAAAUUGGAGACCACUUGAUUGAGGCUAGUGGGAAACUUCACCUGCUGGAUAAGCUGUUGGCAUUCCUGUAUUCCAAAGGCCAUCGAGUUUUACUUUUCUCUCAGAUGACCCAGAUGUUGGAUAUUCUCCAAGACUACCUGGAUUAUAGAGGCUACAGCUAUGAGCGUGUGGAUGGUUCUGUAAGAGGAGAAGAGAGACACUUGGCCAUUAAGAACUUUGGACAGCAGCCCAUCUUUACUUUUCUCUUGAGUACCAGGGCAGGUGGAGUUGGCAUGAACUUAACAGCAGCAGAUACUGUUAUUUUUUUUGACAGUGAUUUCAAUCCUCAGAAUGACUUACAAGCAGCUGCCCGGGCUCACCGAAUUGGCCAGAACAAGUCUGUUAAAGUUAUUCGGCUGAUUGGACGAGAUACUGUGGAAGAGAUUGUCUAUAGGAAAGCGGCCUCCAAGCUGCAGCUCACCAACAUGAUCAUAGAAGGGGGCCAUUUCACUCUGGGAGCCCAGAAACGUGCUGCAGAUACUGACCUCCAGUUGAGCGAGAUACUCAAAUUUGGUUUGGAUAAACUGCUGUCCUCGGAGGGGAGCACCAUGCAUGAAAUAGACCUGGAGUCUAUCCUGGGAGAAACAGAAGAUGGCCACUGGGUCUCUGAUGCCCUGCCUACAGCAGAAGAAGGAAGCAGAGAGCCAGAGGAAGGAAAAAACCACAUGUACUUAUUUGAAGGUAAAGAUUAUUCUAAGGAGCCUAGUAAAGAAGACAGAGAAUCAUUUGAGCAACUGGUGAAUCUUCAGAAAACCCUUUUGGAGAAGACUAGUCAAGAGGGCCGGUUACUCCGAAAUAAAGGCAAUGUUCCCAUCCCAGGCCUUGUGGAGGGGUCCGCCAAAAGGAAGCGGAUUCUGAGCCCAGAAGAACUGGAGGACAGAAGGAAGAAAAGACAAGAAGCAGUGGCCAAGAGAAAGAGACUGUUAGAGGAGAAGAGGAAGAAGAAGGAAGAAGCAGAACAUAAGAAAAAGAUGGCCUGGUGGGAGUCCAACAAUUACCAGUCCUUCUGCCUGCCUUCCGAGGAGAGCGAACCAGAGGACGGGGAAGAUGAGAGCUCUGCCCAACUGGAGUAUGAGGACCCAGACUCAACCUCCAUCAGAUAUGUAUGCGGAGACGUCACCCACCCCCAGGCUGGGGCGGAGGAUGCUGUCAUUGUGCACUGCGUAGAUGACUCUGGCCGCUGGGGCAGAGGUGGUUUAUUCACAGCUCUGGAAACAAGAUCUGCUGAGCCAAGAAAAAGAUAUGAGUUGGCUGGAAAAAUGAAAGACAUCCCCACCUGAACAAAAGUGCCUUGGUGGGUCUUUUAGAAGACCCAAGAGGAGUCUCACCCACCACUGUAACUGGUAAGACACAGAUAAAUCUCCAUACAGGCAAGAACCAGCAGAGUGUGAAACUGCCUAGACCCCUCUCACUGCAGUAGGGCAAAAAACAGGUGAGUGUUGCCCUUGCAGGUACUCACACAUGGAACUUGCCUAAGUCCAUCCUUCCUGAAGGGAGAUCUGGCACAUUGGAGAAAAGAGAAAAAUACGAGUUUGUUUGCAGCAUAGGUGGUAAGGGAAGCUUUCCCAACCCCAACCCUGGCCCACCAAGGAAGACACUGCGAAGGGCUGAUUUUUCUGGCAGCUACCAUCACCAGGUGGAAUGCAGCUGGAAAAACCUGUUUCUCUCUGCCAGCAUCUGGAGUACUAAGGUGGUAGCUCCCCAACCUGGGUGGAGGAAGGGUAUUGGGAAAGAGGCAGAUACGAAUUUCAAAUGGUGUCAAAGGCACGUGCUCAGUAGAAAGUUCAUGCACAAGUAACUGAAAAUUUCCCUGCAGGUGUGUGGCAGUCCCAACACACUAAGUGUUAAACCCACACUUUCCCUCAGCUCUGCUGCCGGCUCCCUGUGCAGGCUCCCUGGUGUAUCCAUGAAAGUGAACUCUGGUAGACCAGAAUCCUACUCAAAACAGGUCAUGUUGGCAGGCAAGGAAGAAGCCACAGACUUGAGCUAUAGCUCCACCUUCUGGGAAAAAGGAUUUGAGUUUGGGAGGUGUCCUUUUAUUUCCUAUUGACGAUAAAGAGUCAAGAAACGAAGGACAAGAUUUGCUGGCCUUGAUUGUGGCCCAGCACCGAGAUCGCGCCAAUGUCCUGUCUGGCAUUAAGAUGGCAGCCCUAGAAGAGGCCCUAAAGAAGAUAUUUUUAGCAGCAAA